rnacentral:rRNA from 1 species
UACAGAGGGGGCAAGCGUUGUUCGGAAUUACUGGGCGUAAAGGGCGCGUAGGCGGCCUUCUAAGUCGAACGUGAAAUCCCCGGGCUCAACCCGGGAACUGCGUCCGAUACUGGAUGGCUUGAGUUUGGGAGAGGGAUGCGGAAUUCCAGGUGUAGCGGUGAAAUGCGUAGAUAUCUGGAGGAACACCGGUGGCGAAGGCGGCAUCCUGGACCAACACUGACGCUGAGGAGCGAAAGCCAGGGGAGCAAACGGG